rnacentral:rRNA from 1 species
AUUGAACGCUGGCGGCAGGCCUAACACAUGCCAGUCGAACAAGCGGCGGACGGGUGAGUAAUGUCUGGGAAACUGCCAGAUGGAGGGGGAUAACUAUAGGAAACGGUAGCUAAUACCGCAACCCAUCAGAUGUGCCCAGAUGGGAUGAGCUAGUUGGUGGGGUAACGGCUCACCAAGGCGACGAUGCCUAGCGGGUCUGAGAGGAUGACGAGCCACACUGGAACGGAGACACGGUCCAGACUCCUACGGGAGGCGGCAGUGGGGAAUAUUGCACAAUGGGGGCAAGCCUGAUGCAGCCAUACCGCGUGUAUGAAGAAGGCCUUGGGGUUGUAAAGUACUUUCAGCGGGGAGGCGUUACCCGCAGAAGAAGCACCGGCUAACUCCGAGCAAGCAGCCGCGGUAAUUC